rnacentral:rRNA from 1 species
CUGGAGGCCGCAGAGAAUAGGCCCAAGCGACUGUUUACCAAAAACAUAGGUUUCUGCUAAGUCGCAAGACGAUGUAUAGGAGCUGACGCCUGCCCGGUGCUGGAAGGUUAAGGGGAUCUGUUAGAGUAAUCGAAGCAGUGAACUUAAGCCCCAGUAAACGGCGGCCGUAACUAUAACGGUCCUAAGGUAGCGAAAUUCCUUGUCGGGUAAGUUCCGACCCGCACGAAAGGCGUAACGAUUUGGGCACUGUC